AUUGAAAGGUAUCUGAUAAAGAAAGAGAAUGAGAAACUCUGUACCUUGACAGAGAUCUUGCGGUCGCUCUGCGGCCUCUUAAACUUCUUCACACGUUUCUUCACGAUCUUCUUCGUCAACAGAGGGACAGCCAUGACUACCCGUUCUGCA